rnacentral:misc_RNA from 1 species
GAUGAAGAACGUAGCGAAAUGCGAUAAGUAAUGUGAAUCGCAGAAUUCAGUGAAUCAUCGAAUCUUUGAACGCACAUUGCGCCCCCUGGUAUUCCGGGGGGCAUGCCUGUCCGAGCGUCAUUACAACCCUCAAGCUCAGCUUGGUGUUGGGCCCCGCCGCCCCGGCGGGCCCUAAAGUCAGUGGCGGUGCCGUCCGGCUCCGAGCGUAGUAAUUCUUCUCGCUCUGGAGGUCCGGUCGUGUGCUCGCCAGCAACCCCCAAUUUUUUUCAGGUUGACCUCGGAUCAGGUAGGGAUACCCGCUGAACUUAAGCAUAUCAAUAAGCGGAGGA